UAGGGAGACCUAAUCCAUUUAGAAAUCGAAAACAAUGAAAAUUGUCAAUAGAAACUAAAUUGGUCUAACCUAGGUCGUUCGAGAUUGGUAGACAUCUUUCAAAGUAUUAUUCGGCUUCGUUCAAAACCAUAUAUAAUAAAUGGAAAAAGACAGCACCUAAUUGUCAAAGUUAGACUGCCGGAUGAAGUUCCAGCCAGAACCUUGAAAACUGCAUAAGAGAACAAGAAAAAGCAGGCAGACACAGACAUUUAGAUGGAUGUGGAAGCAAAAGAAAUUGU
rnacentral:misc_RNA from 1 species